rnacentral:rRNA from 1 species
GACGAACGCUGGCGGCGUGCUUAACACAUGCAAGUCGAACGGAAAGGCCCUGCUUUUGUGGGGUGCUCGAGUGGCGAACGGGUGAGUAACACGUGAGUAACCUGCCCUUGACUUUGGGAUAACUUCAGGAAACUGGGGCUAAUACCGGAUAGGAGCUCCUGCUGCAUGGUGGGGGUUGGAAAGUUUCGGCGGUUGGGGAUGGACUCGCGGCUUAUCAGCUUGUUGGUGGGGUAGUGGCUUACCAAGGCUUUGACGGGUAGCCGGCCUGAGAGGGUGACCGGCCACAUUGGGACUGAGAUACGGACCAGAAGCCUACGGGAGGCAGCAGUGGGGAAUAUUGCACAAUGGGCGGAAGCCUGAUGCAGCAACGCCGCGUGCGGGAUGACGGCCUUCGGGUUGUAAACCGCUUUCGCCUGUGACGAAGCGUGAGUGACGGUAAUGGGUAAAGAAGCACCGGCUAACUACGUG